rnacentral:lncRNA from 1 species
AGAGUGAAAUAAACAAGCCACAAAAAGACAAUGCUGCAUGGAGCUCCACUUCCUCUUGAUAAAUUCAAAACAGCCAGCGCAUCUUAAGGGUGGAGUUUUUUAGCAGCAGGGAGCAGUAGUUGGAUGGAGGGAAGCCAUUGGAAAGGAGGAAGGAGGAGAAGAGAAACAAACUUAGGUGCUCCAGAAAAGUCCACUUUCUUCUUCCCCUUUCAGGCCACCUUCAUCUUCCCCCACCCUCUGCUGGCCUUUCUGGGGGCUCGGAUUUUGAGCUGACUGAGCCCUCAGCAGGAGACCACAUCGUGUUUUCAGAUGAAAGAACAGCGCCCGAAGAGCACAGUCUAAUAAACAGAGAAGGCUCGGGAGGGUCAGAAACACGGCGUUUGCUGAUUCAGCCUCAUUUCUCAGCCUACUUGCCAAGAAUUCCCAAAAACAAAGAGAGAAAACGCUGGAGGAUCAUUCUGAAGUUUGAGGGCUGGGAUGCAUGUCCAGGAAACUCAGGCCAGGCGGUAUGCUGCAGCAGUACAGAGA